rnacentral:miRNA from 1 species
UUCACGUCGGGUUCACC